UGCCGCCUCACUUCCGCAGUGCCUUCAUUAGCGCAGCUAGCUUGACGCAGCGGCGGAAAACCAAACGGAGGCACAGCGGAUCAAUUCGGAGCCACGGCGGUUGAUCGGGAUUAUGCGGCGACACUGAUUGCUGUACCGGCUGAAGACACUGACUCCUCAUCGUGUCACCUGUGACGUCGCCUCAGCCUCCGGUUGUUAGUCUGUACCCGGCCUGUAUGCAGCCUGUCCAGGGCCCGGCCUAAUUCCUGGUGCUCCUUCUUUCCCACCACCUCCUCCCUCCUUUCCCUACCCUUCUCCCCCCCUCUGCCCCUUCCCUCUAUCCUCACUCCCCCCGCACGCCCGCCGGCCUGCUGUCCCGCAGAGCGACACCCAGCCUUUAGCCCGGACCGGCGGCCUGGCUGGCUGCCCCCCUUACAGGUGGAUGAAUGAAGACCCCAUUCAAGAGCCCGACGGCCCCGCGGCCCCCCCGAGCAGACGGGGUACAAAAAGAGGAAGAAGAUAAUCAAGGAUGUCAUGGAAACGAUGGACAUUCAGGCGUUUCUGCAAACAUGAUGAAAAAGAAGAAUUCACAUAAGAAACAGAGGACCAGUGUGGGUCCCAGUAAGACUAUGUCUCCGCCCAGAAGGAACAUAGUGGGCUGCAGGAUCCAGCACAUCUGGAAGGAGGGCAGUAAGUCGUCCCAGUGGAAGGGGACGGUCCUGGACCAGGUCCCUGUGAACCCGUCUCUCUACCUGAUCAAAUACGACGGCUUCGACUGCAUCUACGGCCUGGAGCUGUACAGUGAUGAGAGGGUGGUGGGGCUGGAGGUGCUGCCCGACAGAGUGGCCCCGGCCCGUGUGAGCGACUCGAUGCUGGCGGAGACGAUGAUCGGCAAAGCGGUGGAGCACAUGUUUGAGACGGAGGACGGGCCGAAGGAGGAGUGGAGGGGGAUGGUGCUGGCCCGCGCUCCCAUCAUGACCGCCUGGUUCUACAUCACCUACGAGAAGGACCCCGUGCUCUACAUGUACCAGCUGCUGGACGACUACAAGGAGGGAGACCUGCGCAUCAUGCCCGACUCCAACGACACGGUGGCGGCAGAGCGGGAGCCCGGCGAGGUGGUGGACAGUCUGGUGGGCAAACAGGUGGAGUACGCCAAAGAGGACGGAGGCAAGCGCUCGGGCAUGGUCAUCCACCAGGUGGAGGCCAAGCCCUCGGUCUACUUCAUAAAGUUUGACGACGACUUCCACAUCUACGUCUACGACCUGGUCAAGACCUCCUAAGACCAGAAGACCCGGUCCAGGAUCGGGACCCCAUAAAAGUCUUACUGGGACCUGCCUAGACCCUCUGAAAAACAAAACAAAACUCCCCAGUGAAGAACAAGUGAUUUGAAACAUCCAUCUGGGACGGAUGAUAUCAUUCAUAACUCUUGCUUUCAUGGAACGCCUUCAACACAAGAAAAAUACUUCAUUAUGGAGGCCCCCCCCCCCCCCCCAAGACAGGAGAACCACCACCUGCUCCACCUGUAUUCAAUGAUAUAUCAUCAUCAUCAGUGUCCAGAUGUUGUUAAGUUCCAUUAGGAUUCUUCAAGACACAAAAUGGUGUGAUUACCUCAAAUAAGACCAAGUUAUUUGACAUAAUAGAUUUUAAAUUUUGGAAUAUUUGUAGCAAUACCUAACGAAUCAGAAAACAAAUGUUCUCCAAGCUGAUAGGACCCAAUCUUGAGAUCUUCCUAGCGAACAGGAAACGUCCCCCAUCGCAUUAUCCUCCCCUCCAGAGUGGCAGCAGGUCUGAAACUAUUGAAGUAAACGGAACCCCCCUCUCCUGAAACCUUGUCAGACUGCUUGUUGGGGGGGGGGGCGGACCGGUCUGCCGUGGUUAAUGAAGGGUUGGGUCUUCAGGAAGACAGAAACCUAGAGAUGAAGUGAAAGCUGAACCAUCGUCUCCAUUUGUGUUUAUCCAAGGUCAACGGUGACUGGGUUGCAAUUAGAGGAAGAACUCAUCUCCAAUCACAGCAUUUUACUGACCCUGCCCCCCCCCCUACAGGGCACCGCAGAAAGAGUGGAAUAAAGUCUGAAGCGCACCGUGGAGAAAACAGAGAAUGCGGACUACUUUCUGUUUCCAUCCUUUCACCAUUUGUGUUGAUGCCGAUGCCUUCAUUACCCAUAAUGACUUGAGGUUUCAGCAGGAGAGGGUGUGUUGAUUCGGCUUCAUCGGUAAGCAUCGUUAGCUGUCCUCUGGUCAGCCGAUUCUCACUGGAAGCGCUUGUGGUCGCCGCACAGAUUUAGUUUUCAGUGGGAGUGCUAAUGAUGCUAACGAGCUAAUUCCAUGAGUCCUAGGCCCUGGAUAACGAGGGUGAUGCUGAAACAUGUUCACACAAACGUUUCAUGGAUUCUGCUGAGAAUAAGUUCAGGUCACACAAAGAAAGUUCAGUCAGGGGUUUUGGAAGAUCUCCCAGAAUCCUCUGCUCCUCCCAACAAGAAGCCCACUCCUCCAUUAGCAUUAAACAGCCAUGUUGCCUGAUCCAUGUCUCCUGAAGGGACUCGAACAUCUGUUUGAAAGAACAUGGGUGUCACAACGUUUUGUUCAUUUGUUUUUAUUCUCGAACCUGCGUUGCUGUUCUGAAAUCUGCCGUUUGAUAUUGUGCAAUGUGUUUCACGUUCUGAUACUAGUCCAUGGAGACUCCUGAAGUGAACGGUCCUUCUCCAGUCUUUGAUAACAUACUCGUUCUGACACACAAUCUGCAGCCUCUUUGUUCAGGAGCCGACACGCCGUUCCUAUUUUACAGAAGUGUGUGUGUGUGUGUGUGUGUGUGUGUGUGUGUGUGUGUGUGUGUGUGUGUGUGUGUGUGUGUGUGUGAGAGCCCCUGUUCAGAGCAGUGUUGUUUUUGCAUGCAUGUAUAGCUCAGUGUAAAUCGAUGUGAGUUGCAUGUCUGUGUAGUUUUCAGUUGUUCGGCUGACUUCUGUCUGUUGUGGCUUUUUUUUUUUGGUGCCUUUGUUUUGAUUUCUCUGUUUUUUUUCUUUGCCCGUUUCUUUUUGUACUAUGUGUCCCAGAGGCUACUGCUGCUGGGUUUUGGGGUUAUUGAGCAUAACAUAGAAAAACAAAGAAAAUCCUCCUUGAAACAGAGCUGACAACAGUGUGUGUGAAUUCUGUUUCUGUGUGGAGUGUCCCCUUUAAACAGUGCCAACUACAGAUUCCAGUGUUGUACAGAAGCUCACAAUAUUUACUAAAAUAAACCAUUUCUCUGUUUUUUUCAAUCA